UACGGAGGGGGCUAGCGUUGUUCGGAAUUACUGGGCGUAAAGCGCACGUAGGCGGCUUUGUAAGUUAGAGGUGAAAGCCCAGGGCUCAACCCUGGAAUUGCCUUUAAGACUGCAUCGCUUGAACAUCGGAGAGGUAAGUGGAAUUCCGAGUGUAGAGGUGAAAUUCGUAGAUAUUCGGAAGAACACCAGUGGCGAAGGCGACUUACUGGACCGAACACUGACGCUGAGGCGACGAAAGGCGUGGGGAGCAAACAGG
rnacentral:rRNA from 1 species